GCUAUCAGGGCCUGAUCCAAAGGCCACCGAAGUCAAUAGAAGUAUUUUCAUUGACCUCAAAGGAGUCUGGAUCAGGCCCUAGGAGC
rnacentral:pre_miRNA from 1 species